rnacentral:rRNA from 1 species
GCGUCUGAUUAGCUUGUUGGCGGGGUAACGGCCCACCAAGGCGACGAUCAGUAGGGGUUCUGAGAGGAAGGUCCCCCACAUUGGAACUGAGACACGGUCCAAACUCCUACGGGAGGCAGCAGUGAGGAAUAUUGGUCAAUGGGCGAGAGCCUGAACCAGCCAAGUAGCGUGCAGGAUGACGGCCCUAUGGGUUGUAAACUGCUUUUAUAAGGGAAUAAAGUGAGUCUCGUGAGACUUUUUGCAUGUACCUUAUGAAUAAGGACCGGCUAAUUCCGUGCCAGCAGCCGCGGUAAUACGGAAGGUCCGGGCGUUAUCCGGAUUUAUUGGGUUUAAAGGGAGCGUAGGCCGGAGAUUAAGCGUGUUGUGAAAUGUAGACGCUCAACGUCUGCACUGCAGCGCGAACUGGUUUCCUUGAGUACGCACAAAGUGGGCGGAAUUCGUGGUGUAGCGGUGAAAUGCUUAGAUAUCACGAAGAACUCCGAUUGCGAAGGCAGCUCACUGGAGCGCAACUGACGCUGAAGCUCGAAAGUGCGGGUAUCGAACAGGAUUAGAUACCCUGGUAGUCCGCACGGUAAACGAUGGAUGCCCGCUGUUGGUCUGAAUAGGUCAGCGGC